AAAUUAGGGCCCAAUACAUGAUAUGGCCCAAGCCUUGAAAAUUUAGUUCAUUAAUUAUAUUGGCCCAUCAUCUAUUUAGUAUAUGUGUCUCUAGAAGUUUCAAGACUUCCAAAGAGAGCUAAGUCAUCUUCCAAAGAGAAGAAGAGACCGAUACUAGAGGAAGAAAAGGGGAAAAAUUCCAAGUUUUUCAACUUUGAUCCAAAAACCUUGUCUUCUUGAAUUCUUGUCAAGUUCGAGGCCCUCUUCAACGUGGUAUAAUUAAUUGAGCGAGAAAGUUUCAUUUGUGGCAAGUCAAAAAUUGAAGAAAAGAUUUUGGAAGAAACGGGAUUUGAAUUUGAGUGAGCGUAAGAAGCGGAUAAGGUAUAGACGUUCUGGAUCCAUCGGCGUAGGCUGCAUACCUUCCUCUACUACAGAGUGCUCUAUUGACUCGGAGCCGCAUUUUGGUAUAUGCCUUUCUGAUGUACACACUCUUAUGUAUUUGAAUAUUUGGGUAUGGCGGGGCCCUGUCCCGUCAUAUGUUUUCGUUAUGCUUUGGUAGAGGCCUGUAGACAUAGGUGUGGGUCAUGGGUCGUAUAUGUUCGUUCGCGUAUGAUUUGUAUCUUAAUGUGGCCCCUUUUGUUAUAACGGCCAAAACGGCCCAUAUGUUUGUAUAUAUGUACGUAUCCGGUGACGCACCCUCCGUUGCCCCUUUUUGGUUUGAUAAAUUAUUUUUCUGCAUACGCGGCUACUGAAAUUAAGGAUAGCCUGCUAUUCUGAUUGAGACUAAUAUUAAAUUGGAAUUAUUUUGUAAUA